rnacentral:rRNA from 1 species
UACAGAGGUGGCAAGCGUUGUUCGGAAUUACUGGGCGUAAAGGGCGCGUAGGCGGUUCGUUAAGUCCUGUGUGAAAUCCCCCGGCUCAACUGGGGAACUGCACAGGAAACUAGCGGGCUUGGGUUCGGGAGAGGGAAGCGGAAUUCCGGGUGUAGCGGUGAAAUGCGUAGAUAUCCGGAGGAACCCCGGUGGCGAAGGCGGCUUCCUGGACCGACACUGACGCUGAGGCGCGAAAGCUAGGGGAGCAAACGGG